GAUGAACGCUGGCGGCGUGCCUAAUACAUGCAAGUCGAGCGAACAGACGAGGAGCUUGCUCCUCUGACGUUAGCGGCGGACGGGUGAGUAACACGUGGAUAACCUACCUAUAAGACUGGGAUAACUUCGGGAAACCGGAGCUAAUCCCGGAUAAUAUAUUGAACCGCAUGGUUCAAUAGUGAAAGACGGUUUUGCUGUCACUUAUAGAUGGAUCUGCGCCGCAUUAGCUAGUUGGUAAGGUAACGGCUUACCAAGGCAACGAUGCGUAGCCGACCUGAGAGGGUGGUCGGCCACACUGGAACUGAGACACGGUCCAGACGCCUACGAGAGGCAGCAGUAGGGAAUCUUCCGCAAUGGGCGAAAGCCUGACGGAGCAACGCCACGUGAGUGAUGAAGGUCUUCGGAGCGUAAAACUCUGUUAUUAGGGAAGAACAAAUGUGUAAGUAACUAUGCACGUCUUGACGGUACCUAAUCAGAAAGCCACGGCUAACUACGUG
rnacentral:rRNA from 1 species